rnacentral:rRNA from 1 species
UGCCAGCAGCCGCGGUAAUACGAAGGGCCCGAGCGUUAAUCGGAAUCACUGGGCUUAAAGGGUGUGUAGGCUGUUUUGUAAGUAUCCUGUGAAAUCCCAAGGCUCAACCUUGGAACUGCUGGGUAUACUGCAAAACUUGAGGUCGGUAGGGGCAGCUGGAACAAUAGGUGGAGCGGUGAAAUGCGUAGAUAUCUAUUGGAACGCCAAAGGCGAAGGCAAGCUGCUGGGCCGAAUCUGACGCUGAGACACGAAAGCGUGGGUACCGAACGGGAUUAGAUA